GAAAAGAAUUGAUUGGGUGCCACAUUUUAAGUUCCCUUUAACUGAACCCAAAGGGACGCACUGACUGUCUUUCUGCUCCAGAGCACUGUCAGGGUUCCUUCCGUCCAUAGAGGAAGAAUGUGAUGAUGGGAUAGAGGAGGAGGAGGAGGAGAAGGAGGAAGAGGAGACUCCUGAGACUGAGUCUGAUUCGGAUGAGCAGGAGGGGGCUGAUACAGUGUCUAAACUGACCACCCUCAGGCACCUUCCAACCAUAGUUCACCGGACGACCGUCCAGUCCAUCACCAUCACUUCCAGAAAGGAGGAUAUAAAAGAGGAGGAGCAAAGGAAUCGGACUGAACCACCUCCAGCACCCGCCGUCUCUCCGUCUACUCCCACCUUCUCUUCUCCUCUCAGCCCCCCAGCACAACCCUCCUUCCUGG
ensembl:lncRNA